AUUGAACGCUGGCGGCAGGCCUAACACAUGCAAGUCGAGCGGACGAAGGGAGCUUGCUCCUGGAUUAAGUGGCGGACGGGUGAGUAAUGCCUAGGAAUCUGCCCGGCAGAGGGGGAUAACGUCCGGAAACGGGCGCUAAUAUCGUAUACGUCCAGAUGGUGAACGUGGGGGAUCUUCGGACCUCACGCUUUCUGAUGAGCCUAGGUCGGAUAAGCUAGUUGGUGGGGUAAAGGCCUACCAAGGCGACGAUCCGUAACUGGUCUGAGAGGAUGAUCAGUCACACUGGAACUGAGACACGGUCCAGACUCCUACGGGAGGCAGCAGUGGGGAAUCUUGGACAAUGGGCGAAAGCCUGAUCCAGCCAUGCCGCGUGUGUGAAGAAGGUCUUCGGAUUGUAAAGCACUUUUAGUUGGGAGGAGGAGCAGUGAGAUUAAACCUGGCUGUUUUGACGUUACCAACAGAAUAAGCACCGGCUAACUUCGUG
rnacentral:rRNA from 1 species